rnacentral:rRNA from 1 species
UACGGGGGGUGCAAGCGUUGAUCGGAUUGACUGGGCGUAAAGGGAGCGUAGGCGGUCGAAAAAGUAAGUUGUGAAAUUCCGGGGCUCAACCCCGGAACUGCGUCCGAUACUGCGUGGCUAGAGGUAGGUAGGGGAGAUCGGAAUUCCUGGUGUAGCGGUGAAAUGCGCAGAUAUCAGGAGGAACACCGGUGGCGAAGGCGGAUCUCUGGGCCUUACCUGACGCUCAGGCGCGAAAGCUAGGGGAGCGAACAGG